AUACGACUCUACUGUCCCCACAACCCUCCACGCCUGAGUCCUGUUCUUCUCUCCUCCCAUAAGUAACUCUCGUACUCUCUGUCUCGCUGUCUCUGACUCUCUGUCUCUCUGUCUCUGUUUCUUUCUCUCUCAUGUCCAUUAAAAUGUCUAUGUCCUGGAAUGCUCUGGAAGACGUUUUGGACCGUGUUGCAGAAGGAUUUGGUAGCGGUGCUUAGAGCUCCUGAUGCCUGAUUAUAUCAGAAGACUAACGGCAAAAGUCAGGUCCUCACGGGAGAACUAAGAAGCACGUCUGGGACGGAACAGGAGUCUGGAAAUUUGGUACAUGCAGUGCAGAGGGUGCCUAUGGACUGGCCUCCAAUAAAAACCUUGGGCUUCUGGGCUUAGGUAAGCUUCCUGGGCAGACAACAUCCCGCACCUGCUGUCACAGUUCGCAGCUGGAGGAAUUAACUCCCCUGGGAGGACUCGGAAGCUUGAACGUGCUCUCCUCAGGAUUUUGCUCCCUGCACCUUGUCCCUUCCCUGAUUUUGCUUUGUAGCCUUUCACUGUAAUAAAUCGCAGCUGUGAGUACAACGAUCCGCUGCAUCCUGUCAGCCCUGCUAGUGAAUCACUGAACCUGGGGUGGUCCUGGGGAGCCCCGACUCAGAGCAUCAGAAGUGGCUUCACCAGAAGGACCCUGACUCUGAAAUACAACGAAAGCACUGUGUGGGAAAAGGAAGGAUGGAGGGGCGGGAGAUGAUGAACGUUAGGAGUCAGGAUGGCUGUGGAGACACAGCUGGAAUAAAUCAGCAGCUGAGCUGCCGCCCGUUGUGAAGGGAAAAGUUGCCCGUGGAAACUGACAAUGAAAGCGUCAACUCCGGAAGAAUCAGCUUGCAGGCUCCCCCGCUGCUUUUUGCAGUGCUGGCUAAAGUGAGGGGGGAAAAGUCCAGCCUGGGUGAUGCCUUUGGUUUUGUUCUCUCCUCUGGAUAAGAGGAAAAAGGGCCCAACUAUUCCAAAAAGUGAGCUUCGGGUGGGCCGAAGAGAUUGAAAUUUGCAUUGUUCUUUCCUCCAAGUGGGAGGGAAAAGUUAGUUCCCAGGAGUGGUUAACCUAGGAAUAAAGAGCCAAAAGGAGAGGCAGAGAGGCGUUUAUUUUGGGAUCAGAAAAUUGCAAUUUGGGGAGCACAGAUACAGGAAGAAACCCAGACAGAGUCCCAUUAGGGAGUAAAAGUCAGAGGCUUUUAAAGGCAAAGAAGGGAGGUUGUAUCAUCAAGAAUUUUAACUGGAGUUGGAGACAGAAGCUAGUCUCGGCUAAACAUUGAUUGACUAUUGAUUCUAUCUUCAGAAAGUCCACCAUCCUUAGUCUUUGUGAUCAGGAUGUCUGUUCUCCUGCUGAUUGCUCAAACAGUUGCUUGUACAAUUGCUGUUUUGCCCCAACCCAAAGGUUUGGCCCAGUCCAAGGAUUAAGACAGCAAAGCAGUUUCUCUAGAAAGGCAGCUCUGACUCCAUUUUAAAAUGGCUCUGCUCUUGUCAAUUUUGACAUUUCCCACUUUUGACUGAGGGUUUU
rnacentral:lncRNA from 1 species